rnacentral:rRNA from 2 species
AGAGUUUGAUCCUGGCUCAGGACGAACGCUGGCGGCGUGCCUAAUACAUGCAAGUCGAGCGGACAGAUGGGAGCUUGCUCCCUGAUGUUAGCGGCGGACGGGUGAGUAACACGUGGGUAACCUGCCUGUAAGACUGGGAUAACUCCGGGAAACCGGGGCUAAUACCGGAUGGUUGUUUGAACCGCAUGGUUCAAACAUAAAAGGUGGCUUCGGCUACCACUUACAGAUGGACCCGCGGCGCAUUAGCUAGUUGGUGAGGUAACGGCUCACCAAGGCAACGAUGCGUAGCCGACCUGAGAGGGUGAUCGGCCACACUGGGACUGAGACACGGCCCAGACUCCUACGGGAGGCAGCAGUAGGGAAUCUUCCGCAAUGGACGAAAGUCUGACGGAGCAACGCCGCGUGAGUGAUGAAGGUUUUCGGAUCGUAAAGCUCUGUUGUUAGGGAAGAACAAGUACCGUUCGAAUAGGGCGGUACCUUGACGGUACCUAACCAGAAAGCCACGGCUAACUACGUGCCAGCAGCCGCGGUAAUACGUAGGUGGCAAGCGUUGUCCGGAAUUAUUGGGCGUAAAGGGCUCGCAGGCGGUUUCUUAAGUCUGAUGUGAAAGCCCCCGGCUCAACCGGGGAGGGUCAUUGGAAACUGGGGAACUUGAGUGCAGAAGAGGAGAGUGGAAUUCCACGUGUAGCGGUGAAAUGCGUAGAGAUGUGGAGGAACACCAG